GACCUUGCCUCUUGGCAAAACACAAAGCAGAGCCUCAUUUGGUUUGGUAGUCCCGAUAUAUCGGGAUCGAAGAACCAGAGGCGACAUAAGCAAAAAG
rnacentral:sRNA from 12 species